UACGGAGGGUGCAAGCGUUAUCCGGAAUCACUGGGUUUAAAGGGUGCGUAGGCGGUUUUUUAAGUCAGUUGUGAAAUUCCCCCGCUUAACGGGAGGGACUGCGAUUGAUACUGGGGAACUUGAAUCAGGUUGAGGUAGGCGGAAUGUGACAUGUAGCGGUGAAAUGCAUAGAUAUGUCAUAGAACACCGAUUGCGAAGGCAGCUUGCUGGACCUGUAUUGACGCUGAGGCACGAAAGCGUGGGGAGCAAACAGG
rnacentral:rRNA from 1 species